rnacentral:rRNA from 1 species
GUAUCACCCAAGACAACUUUACGGAGUUGACGAUUGACGGAGCGAAGCGACGUCAAAGCGUAUACAAAGUCGAGUUGGCUUAGGGAUACGUUCGUUGGGUAGGGGAGCGUUCUGUAAGCCUGUGAAGGUGGCCUGUGAGGGUUGCUGGAGGUAUCAGAAGUGCGAAUGCUGACAUAAGUAACGAUAAAGCGGGUGAAAAGCCCGCUCGCCGGAAGACCAAGGGUUCCUGUCCAACGUUAAUCGGGGCAGGGUGAGUCGACCCCUAAGGCGAGGCCGAAAGGCGUAGUCGAUGGGAAACGGGUUAAUAUUCCCGUACUUGGUGUUACUGCGAAGGGGGGACGGAGAAGGCUAUGUUGGCCGGGCGACGGUUGUCCCGGUUUAAGCGUGUAGGUGUGUGUUCCAGGUAAAUCCGGUUCACUUUAACACUGAGGCGUGACGACGAGGCACUACGGUGCUGAAGCAACAAAUGCCCUGCUUCCAGGAAAAGCCUCUAAGCAUCAGGUAACAUCAAAUCGUACCCCAAACCGACACAGGUGGUCAGGUAGAGAAUACCAAGGCGCUUGAGAGAACUCGGGUGAAGGAACUAGGCAAAAUGGUGCCGUAACUUCGGGAGAAGGCACGCUGACACGUAGGUGAAGUGAUUUACUCAUGGAGCUGAAGUCAGUCGAAGAUACCAGCUGGCUGCAACUGUUUAUUAAAAACACAGCACUGUGCAAACACGAAAGUGGACGUAUACGGUGUGACGCCUGCCCGGUGCCGGAAGGUUAAUUGAUGGGGUCAGCGCAAGCGAAGCUCCUGAUCGAAGCCCCGGUAAACGGCGGCCGUAACUAUAACGGUCCUAAGGUAGCGAAAUUCCUUGUCGGGUAAGUUCCGACCUGCACGAAUGGCGUAAUGAUGGCCAGGCUGUCUCCACCCGAGACUCAGUGAAAUUGAACUCGCUGUGAAGAUGCAGUGUACCCGCGGCAAGACGGAAAGACCCCGUGAACCUUUACUAUAGCUUGACACUGAACAUUGAGCCUUGAUGUGUAG